AUUGAACGCUGGCGGCAGGCUUUACACAUGCAAGUCGAGCGAGCGGCGGACGGGUGAGUAAUGUAUGGGAAAGUGCCUGGUGGCGGGGGAUAACUACUGGAAACGGUAGCUAAUACCGCAUACCAUGAGACGUGCCAAGAUGGGAUUAGCUAGUAGGGGGGGUAAUGGCUCACCAAGGCAACGAUCCCUAGCUGGUCUGAGAGGAUGACCAGCCACACUGGAACUGAGACACGGGCCAGACUCCUACGGGAGGCAGCAGUGGGGAAUAUUGGACAAUGGGGGAAAGCCUGAUGCAGCCAUGCCGCGUGUGUGAAGAAGGCCUUCGGGUUGUAAAGUACUUUCGGCGAGGAGGCGUUACUCGCAGAAGAAGCACCGGCUAACUCCGUGCCAGCAGCCGCGGUAAUUC
rnacentral:rRNA from 1 species